rnacentral:rRNA from 1 species
AUUGAACGCUGGCGGCAGGCCUAACACAUGCAAGUCGAGCGAGCGGCGCACGGGUGAGAAUUGUAUAGGGACUGCCCGAUAGAGGGGGAUAAAUCAUGGAAACGGGAGAUAAUACCCCAUACGAUCGGAUAACCCCCAUGGGAUUGGAUAGUAGUGGUGGUAAUGGCUCACCUAGGCGCCGCUCCCUAGCUGGGCUGAGAGGAUGAUCAGCCUCACUGGGACUGAGACACGGCCCCGACUCCUACGGAGUCAGCAGUGGGGAAUAUUGCACAAUGGGCGCAAGCCUGAUGCAGCCAUGCCGCGUGUAUGAAGAAGGCCCUAGGGUUGUAAAGUACUUUCAGUCGGGAGGCGUUACCGACAGAAGAAGCACCGGCUAACUCCGUGCCAGCCGCCGCGGUAAUAC